rnacentral:rRNA from 1 species
AGUGAACGCUGGCGGCGUGCUUAACACAUGCAAGUCGAACGAGAACGGGAUAUAGCUUGCUAUAUUUGUCAGCUAAGUGGCGCACGGGUGAGUAAUGUAUAGAUAACCUGCCCUCUAGAAAGGAAUAACAGUUGGAGACGACUGCUAAUGCCCUAUAUGCCUUUAAUACAUAAGUAUGCAAGGGAAACGCUUUAGUGCUAGAGGAUGGGUCUGUAUGGUAUCAGCUUGUUGGUGAGGUAAUGGCUCACCAAGGCUAUGACGCCUAACUGGUUUGAGAGGAUGAUCCGUCAACCCUGAACCGGGAAACGGUUCAAGCUCCUAGGGGAGGCCGGCGGUGGGAAUAUUGCCAAAUGGACGAAAGGCUGAUGCCGCAACGCCGGGUGGAGGAUGACACAUUUCGGUGCGUAAACUCCUUUUAUAUAGGAAGAUAAUGACGGUACUAUAUGAAUAAGCACCGGCUAACUCCGUGCCAGCCGCCGCCGUAA